UGCAGUUCAGGCGGAGACAUUUUUUUCCCUCUCUGCCCCACUCACCCCGGUGAAACGGUACGUUUUGUAGACAAGAGCCGGGUUCGGGGUGAGUCGAACGUGGACACUGGACGCAACAAUGUCCGUUGUUUUCUUGAAAUCAAUGUGUCGAAAGCUGCCGGAGGAGUAAGUCUACAACUGUGAUUUCCGGUCGGUGGCAAGGGGAGGCUAUUCAAGGAGUGUUAUUGUGUUUCCGAUAGGGCCGGAUGCGGGGGUGAUCUGUCCUUGACAUUCAGGAGUGUGGAGUGGAGUAUCGACGGUCACGGUUCAGUGGUUGCUGGAAGGUUCUGAGCGUGGAGAAGUGGACGCCAUUUGAGUUUUUUGGAGAAGAUAAAAAAAAAUGACGCUCAACCAUGAAACGAUUAAGAUGAUCGCUGGUGAGACAAUGACAUCCGUACUACCUUACAGUUUCUCUGGAUGGCUGCAGUACGUACACGUAGAGGAUUUUAAUGGAAUAUAUUUCUAGACUAACAGUAGUGCUUUCAAAGGAUUAUAUUUAGGUCUUACGAUCAUGUAAGACAUUCACUAACAGGAUACCGGAAAUGGAGGAGCCAUAGACAGUUCUGACGAAGGCCAAAUUCAGCAACGAAGGACAGCCAAGAUAAUGUGGCAAGGGCAACUUCAAAAGAUGUGUGGAGAUGUGUGGGGAUGUGUGGAGAUGUGGGUAUGUUGGUGAAUUCAACCCGCCCAAAGACAAGUGUGUCGGUGAAAAUGUCUACGUGGACCCAUUCAUCCUUGACACAAUUCUAUUCUGUCAUGUUAAACAUGACAUUAAAAAUGACAUUUAAAAAGACAUUUAUACCUGUCUAACUCGAUUAUCAGAUGACAACUAUUUUGUGAUUUUCUUAUUUUUGUGCUAAAUAGAAAUCAUGAAAAGGCUCUUACAAAUGAUUUAAUUAGAGAUCUGACAUAUACUGAAUUAUCCAAUUUAUGGAGAUUUGUAAAAUGCUCUGAAAAUGAUACACGUGAAUCUUUAAUACCUAAUGUACUGAGCGGCCCUAUUCAUCAAUCAAUGAAAUAAAAUCCUAAAACAUCAUGUAGCCUGCACUUAUAGCUAGGGCAAACAAAUAACUAGCUACAAUAGGUAUAGGGACGACGUGGUUGUAUGGUAGAGCAUUCGACUGCUAACAUGUAAGUCUCGAGUUCGGAUCAUGAAGAACGUCCCUGAGUCCACCCAGUUCUGAUGGGGAAAGUAAAAGCUGUUGGACAAAGUGCUGACCACACUAUCCCUUUAUUCUUUAGUUACUGAAAAAGGUGAACACUACUUCACCUGCCCCAUGGACGGGAAGGUUCGAAAGAGUACUUUUCCAAUGGGUCCUAUUUCACAACUCAUAGUCUCAAAAGGUCUUUUGCCAAAUUUUAUAUGUAAUGUCCUCAAACCAGAGUU